rnacentral:rRNA from 1 species
CAGUAGCCGCGGGAAUACGGAGGGUGCAAGCGUUAUCCGGAUUUAUUGGGUUUAAAGGGUCCGUAGGCGGACUUAUAAGUCAGUGGUGAAAGCCUGUCGCUUAACGAUAGAACUGCCAUUGAUACUGUAAGUCUUGAGUAUAUUUGAGGUAGCUGGAAUAAGUAGUGUAGCGGUGAAAUGCAUAGAUAUUACUUAGAACACCAAUUGCGAAGGCAGGUUACCAAGAUAUAACUGACGCUGAGGGACGAAAGCGUGGGUAGCGAACAGGAUUAGAUACCCGAGUAGUCCCUGUCUCUUAUAC